rnacentral:piRNA from 1 species
UGUGAAGACAGGCCUGGCAUUUCCUCCAAU